rnacentral:rRNA from 1 species
UGCGUAGGCGGGCCGGUCAGUCGGGUGUGAAAACUCACGGCUUAACCGUGGGCUUGCAUUCGAAACUGCCGGUCUCGAGUACGGGAGAGGGAAGUGGAAUUCCUGGUGUAGCGGUGAAAUGCGUAGAUAUCAGGAGGAACACCGGUGGCGAAGGCGGCUUCCUGGACCGAUACUGACGCUGAGGCACGAAGGCCGGGGGAGCAAACAGGAUUAGAUACCCUGGUAGUCC